rnacentral:rRNA from 1 species
GGCNNCCUAACACAUGCAAGCCGAGCGGUAGAGAUUCUUCGGAAUCUUGAGAGCGGCGUACGGGUGCGGAACACGUGUGCAACCUGCCUUUAUCAGGGAGAUAGCCUUUCGAAAGGAAGAUUAAUACCCCAUAAUAUAUUAAGUGGCAUCACUUGAUAUUGAAAACUACGGUGGAUAGAGAUGGGCACGCGCAAGAUUAGAUAGUUGGUAGGGUAACGGCCUACCAAGUCUACGAUCUUUAGGGGGCCUGAGAGGGUGAUCCCCCACACUGGUACUGAGACACGGACCAGACUCCUACGGGAGGCAGCAGUGAGGAAUAUUGGACAAUGGGUGGAAGCCUGAUCCAGCCAUCCCGCGUGAAGGACGACGGCCCUAUGGGUUGUAAACUUCUUUUGUAUAGGGAUAAACCUAGAUACGUGUAUCUAGCUGAAGGUACUAUACGAAUAAGCACCGGCUAACUCCGUGCCAGCAGCCGCGGUAAUACGGAGGGUGCAAGCGUUAUCCGGAUUUAUUGGGUUUAAAGGGUCCGUAGGCGGAUCUGUAAGUCAGUGGUGAAAUCUCACAGCUUAACUGUGAAACUGCCAUUGAUACUGCAGGUCUUGAGUGUUGUUGAAGUANCUGGAAUAAGUAGUGUAGCGGUGAAAUGCAUAGAUAUUACUUA